rnacentral:lncRNA from 1 species
CUCUCAUGUCCAUCUCUCUUCAAACUAGCAAAGAAAUUAAACCCACAACAAAACCCCUGCAUAUUUGCACGUAGAAACACAGAGUCACUCUAGCAUGCGUAUGUCACUUGCAUGAACUUGUCGAUCAGACGGUGCAGGUGUAGCCUGGCGGCGGCGUCUUGCCGCAGGUGAGGAGGAGCUGGAGCGCCAGGGGUAGGUAGAUGUUGAUGUUGAGGAGCUUGAGCUUGAUGGUGGUGCAGAGGCACACCGCCGCCUCCAGCUCCACCAGCCCCUCCAGCACCGGGCAGCACUUGUUCACCACGGGGUCGCCGAGCCCGACGUGCACCAGACCGCCCAGCAGGUCCACGCACGCCCCCAGCUUCAGCGAGUCCGCCGGGCAAGUCGGCGACGACGGCGUCGUCGGGGUCGAGGGAGGCGGCGGCGGGCACGGCGUCGAUGGGCUGCCCCCGCCUCCGCCGCCGGGCGGGUAGGUGACGGGCGGGCCGGUCACCGGAGGCGUCGUCGACGGCGGGCCGGUGAUAGGAGGGACGGUGACUGGGGGGCCGGUGAUCGGAGGGACUGUGACCGGUGGGCCCGUGAUCGGCGGGUACGUCACCGGCGGGCCGACGACCGGCGGCGUCGUCGGAGGGCCGGUGAUCGGCGGGUAGGUCACCGGCGGACGCGUGACCGGUGGGCCGACGACGGGCGGGCGCGUGACCGGCGGGGCGACGACCGGCGGGCGCGUGACGGGGCCCUUGGGCGGGCCGACGACCGGCGGGCGAGUGACCGGCGGGUAGGAGGGGCCCUUCUUGGGCGGGCGCGUCACCGGCGACGGGUAGGAGGGGCCCUUGGGCGGCUUGGGGUUCUUGGGCUUGGUCUUGGGCGGGUGCGACGGCUUGGGCGCCUUGGGCUUGUCGCAGUCGCAGUCCACCUCGUGGUCUGCUGCGGCGGCUGGCAGCGAGAGGAUGGGCGUCACGGCGGUGGAGAGCAG